UACAGAGGUGGCAAGCGUUGUUCGGAAUUACUGGGCGUAAAGGGCGCGUAGGCGGCCUACUAAGUCAGACGUGAAAUCCCCAGGCUUAACUUGGGAACUGCGUCUGAUACUGGGAGGCUUGAGUGCGGGAGAGGGAUGUGGAAUUCCAGGUGUAGCGGUGAAAUGCGUAGAUAUCUGGAGGAACACCGGUGGCGAAGGCGGCAUUCUGGACCGACAUUGACGCUGAGGAGCGAAAGCCAGGGGAGCAAACGGG
rnacentral:rRNA from 1 species